CCGGAAGCCGGAAGGGGGGCUGUGAGGACGUGUUCUGAGGGAGCCCAAGCCGGACCCGGCGGGGCCGGCGACAUGGAGCCGCUGUACCAGCAAACGCACAAGCGGGUCCACGAGAUCCAGUCUCACAUGGGACGCCUGGAGACAGCAGACAAGCAGUCUCUGCACUUGGUAGAAAACGAAAUCCAAGCAAGCAUAGACCAGAUAUUCAGCCAUCUAGAACGUCUGGAGAUUUUGUCCAGCAAGGAGCCCCCUAACAAAAGACAGAACGCCAAACUUCGUGUUGACCAGUUAAAGUAUGAUGUCCAGCACCUGCAGACUGCUCUCAGAAACUUCCAGCAUCAGCGAUACACAAGGGAGCAGCAAGAGAGACAGCGAGAGGAGCUUCUGUCUCGCACCUUCACCACUAACGACUCUGACACCACCAUACCGAUGGACGAGUCACUGCAGUUUAACUCCUCCCUCCAGAAAAUCCACCACGGCAUGGAUGACCUCAUUGGAGGCGGGCACAGUAUUCUGGAGGGACUGAGGGCCCAGAGACUGACCUUGAAGGGGACUCAGAAGAAGAUCCUUGACAUUGCCAACAUGCUGGGCUUGUCCAACACAGUGAUGCGGCUCAUUGAGAAGCGGGCUUUCCAGGACAAGUACUUCAUGAUUGGCGGGAUGCUGCUCACCUGCGUGGUCAUGUUCCUGGUGGUGCAGUACCUGACGUGAGCCGGCCAAGCCCAGCAACUGAACAGCAUUCCCACUGCGUGAGAGUGUGUGUGAGAGAGGGGGCCCAAAGGCUACCUUUUGAAAUGUAUGUCCGUCUUAACUGUGAAGACCACUUGGAAGUAAUUAUGAUCUGUAACCUGGUGGGAAUUUCAAACCUGCUCUGUUUUCUGUACAUCUUGGAGGGGAAGUUAGUGCUACCAAGAUGCAUGGUGCUUAGGAAAUGAAAGAAGUACCUGUUCUCUCUCACUGUUACUGUCACUCUCACUGGGGGAGGAAGUGAUGUAAGGGUAAGGGAUGAAGAAGGAAGGGGGAGGAAGAGAAUGGCUUUGGUGGUUUUGUCCACAGAGUUGAUGCACGCCCCAAGAGGACUUUCAUGGUGAGCCUUGUGGACAGGAUUGUCCACACUUGGUCAUCAUCCAGGCUUUCUGGCUCCUAGGCUGGAGCAGAAGUGAAGAGAGGAAGAGAAAGAGGCCCUCUUUUUAUGUGCCCAGUAUAGUAGAUGGAUUCACAUGCCCUCCCCCCUCUGCCCCAAAUGACGUACAGAUGACUGACUGCUAAUACUUGUCAUCCUUCCCUGGAAGCAGCUACCUAGAGGAAACAGAGGCAUUGACGCUGUUACUGACAAUGAGUAAGACUUUCCACAUUACAAUCGUUGGGUGUUUCUCCUUUCUAAAAUGAGGCCCCUGUUAUUCCUGGGAGUGUUCAGUCUUGAGACUGAAGACCCUAGUCACUGAUUUUUUUCCAGUUAAUAGAAUUGUUGGCUUUUAAGGUUCCAAGAAUGCAGCCUGGCACCCAUGCCCAGGCUUUGGUGAGGCUUUGCCCCUUAGAAAGUAGCUGUGAGAAAAGGUUAGUAAUUUGUCAAUUACAGUCUCAUCUCUAGUCUUAACAUCUCUAAUUCUUUGGCUCUCUUCCCUUCCUUGAAAUGUAGUAGCAACUGCCCACCAAGCCCCCAUUCUCCCUGGCCAGUGUGGGCAGAGGCCACCCUGGAGAUGUCCCUGGUGCGUAUGUCCUUGUGAGACUAUUUUCAGGGACCAGGACCUUUUUCUUUCUGUGACCAAUCCUGGAUUAAGUCUGUAUCAAUACCCAGCGUAUUGUGGAAUUUAUUUUAAAGCCAGUCUGUUUAAUGAGAUUAAUUGCUGAAAGUACCAGAAAGACCUGGUUAGCAAAUUUUUUCAUCUAUCAUAACAGGCCUUACCAGCCCUAGACUCAGUAGCCUCAUGGCAAUACAAAAAAUAACACUCAAAACUUCCCAGAAACACUGGAAACCUGGUCAAUAUUAACCCCACCUUGAUCGUCUUGCCCCACCUACUUCCUGUCUGUGCUUCCUGUCGUUUGGACUAUCUUCUGUCCUCCCUUUUCUGUAUGUGUUCUGUUCCACUUCCCUUAUUUACCUCCCACCUGUUUCUGUAGCAGUAUUGGUCUUUUCAGGCACAUCUGUGGCGUGGAUCCCCCUUUGAUGAAUGUUUCUUAAUUGUCACAGAUUUUUAACAUUAGUUUCCUGGUUACUGAUUUCACACUUUUGGUGAGAUCACUAUUGCUCCUACCCCUCUGGGCUAAACAGGGGACCUGGGUUUCCAAGAAAGGGGGAAUCCGUGACCCCUUCGUGAAAGGAUUGAAGGCCUUGCCAGAGUGAAAACUGUGGCCUGGAGGGUGGAGAGAGGGAUUCAGGCAUCUUCAGACCUAAUCUAACUUUGGGGAGGCACAGUUUGAAAUUUCCUUCACACCCAGCACCCCUCCUCUCCCAGGGACCCAGCAGAGGGCUCUUAGCAGUCCAUAAAAUGGAUUUUCAAACUGCGCAGCGCUGGGCAACUGAGGAUCCUGCCAGACAGCACACUUUGGGGGGAGGUGGACAAGGAGCAGCUAAGCCAUUUGGACUUGAACUGUGGGAGGAGGAAACUCCCCCCACCCUCCCUUGGCUGAUGUGACAUCUAUUUGUAGUGAACACCAGUGUGCUCCACACUCGCCUUUGUAGUGAUUGUUGGCCUUGAUGAACCAGAAGUAAGGCCUUCCUUCAUGCUGCACCUUCAGAGCCAUUCUCCCUACUUUGUAAUAAAAAUGGUGGAGGCAGUUUGUGGGUCCUUACUGCCCGGGGCUAAGGAACGGCAGCCACAGUGUGUCUGGAGACCCAAGGUCACUGAGACCUCAUGUCAUCGUGUGAUUGCCUUCCCUCUUUCACAAUGGCUUUCAGUGACCUGUGAGAAACACACCUUGGCCAAGUGGAUGCUUCUAUCUCCACAGUCCCCAAUGUAGGGAAGCGUUCCAGGCCAGGGAAGGAGCACCCUCUAGUGGAGUUGGGGUGAAUUCUUAGGUCGCGCUGGUGCAAGAAUCUCCAGAAAGCCUCUGCUGUCUGUACACACAGGAUUUUGGUGUGCCUCUUGUGUUUUAAGACAGAUGGGUGUCAAGGAACUUGGGAAUAUCUUCAUUCGGUGGACCUUUACUCUAGGUGUGACCCCCUAAGGAAAGCCACACUCAAAGACCAAAUUCGGAUUGACACCCAUUGUUUUUGAAACACAUCAGUUGAAUAAAGCCGGAGAUUCUCAAACACUGCUCCGUGGCCAGGGGCUGGACUUGCUGCCUCAGAAGCAGCUGGGAACUUUUUAAAAAUGAUAGAUUCCUGGGCCUACCCCAAACCUUCUGAAUUAGAAUAUGUUUUAAGUCUCCAAGGUAGUUCUGAUGUGUGUAUUUUUAGAACCACUGUCUUUUAGACAGAAGGCUUUUGUCUUAAUCAAAGAUAGUAGGAUUUGAAAAUAUAUACUGAACUAGCUCAGCAUAUCUGUGGGAAGAACAAAACUUACCAAGUCUAAAAUAAAGUCUCACUUGUUUAUAUCCUA